rnacentral:rRNA from 1 species
UGCGUAGGCGGUUCGUUAAGUUGGAUGUGAAAACUCUGGGCUCAACCCAGAGCCUGCAUCCAAAACUGGCGGGCUAGAGUUCUGGGAGGGGGUAGUGGAAUUCCUGGUGUAGCGGUGAAAUGCGUAGAUAUCAGGAGGAACACCGGUGGCGAAGGCGGCUACCUGGACAGAAACUGACGCUGAGGCACGAAAGCUAGGGGAGCAAACAGGAUUAGAUACCCUGGUAGUCCUAGCCCUAAACGAUGGGUACUUGGUGUGACCGGGAUUGAAUCCGGUCGUGCCGAAGCUAACGCAUUAAGUAUCCCGCCUGGGGAGUACGGUCGCAAGGCUAGAA